AAUGAACGUUGGCGGCGUGGAUUAGGCAUGCAAGUCGAGCGAGAACCGUAGCAAUACGGGGACAGCGGCGAAAGGGAGAGGAAUACGUGGAUACCUACCCCCAGGUUCAGGAUAGCCGUGGGAAACUACGGGUAAUACUGAAUAACAUCUCCGGAUCAAAGGUGUGAUUCCGCCCGGGGAGGGGUCCGCGUCCUAUUAGCUUGUUGGUGGGGUAACGGCUCACCAAGGCGAAGAUGGGUACGGGAUGUGAGAGCAUGAUCCCGCUCAUUGGGACUGAGACACUGCCCAGACACCUACGGGAGGCAG
rnacentral:rRNA from 1 species